UAAUACGGAGGAUGCGAGCGUUAUCCGGAUUUAUUGGGUUUAAAGGGUGCGUAGGCUGUUAUAUAAGUCAGUGGUGAAAUAUUCGGGCUCAACCGGGAUACUGCCAUUGAUACUGUAUAGCUGGAAUAUGGUUGCUGUGGGUGGAAUGUGUGGUGUAGCGGUGAAAUGCAUAGAUAUCACACAGAAUAUCGAUUGCGAAGGCAACUCACAAAGCCAUUAUUGACGCUGAUGCACGAAAGUGUGGGGAUCAAACAGGAUUAGAUACCCUGGUAGUCCACACUGUAAACGAUGAUAACUAGCUGUCGGCGAUAGAUAGUCGGUGGCUAAGCGAAAGCGAUAAGUUAUCCACCUGGGGAGUACGACCGCAAGGUUGAAACUCAAAGGAAUUGACGGGGGCCCGCACAAGCGGAGGAACAUGUGGUUUAAUUCGAUGAUACGCGAGGAACCUUACCCGGGCUCGAACGGUGCAGGAAUAUGGUAGAGAUAUCAUAGCUAGCAAUAGUCUGUAUCGAGGUGCUGCAUGGUUGUCGUCAGCUCGUGCCGUGAGGUGUCGGCUUAAGUGCCAUAACGAGCGCAACCCUUGUCGUUAGUUACCAUCAAGUAAAGUUGGGGACUCUAGCGAGACUGCCACCGUAAGGUGUGAGGAAGGGGGGGAUGACGUCAAAUCAGCACGGCCCUUACGUCCGGGGCGACACACGUGUUACAAUGGUAGGUACAGAGGGGCGCUAUCCAGUGAUGGAGUGCGAAUCUCAAAAACCUAUCUCAGUUCGGAUUGGAGUCUGCAACUCGACUCCAUGAAGUUGGAUUCGCUAGUAAUCGCGCAUCAGCCAUGGCGCGGUGAAUACGUUCCCGGGCCUUGUACACACCGCCCGUCAAGNCAUGGNAGCCGGGGGUGCCUGA
rnacentral:rRNA from 1 species